CAGGAGGCACCAAAAAGCUGAGCCUGUAGGUGUGGAGAGAUGGAGGAAGAGGGUGGAAGAGAGGCUGGAAGCAAGUUUGGGGCUGAGAAAGAUAGUUUCAAGCUGGGCAGUCAGUUUGUAAAUCUCCAAAGGUGCGCUGGUGGAUUUUGUUCUUCUCCAAUACGAAAUAAGUGCAGCAGCAAGAAGGACCCAGGAAGAUCUUGCCGCAUCUCCACUUAAGAACUUCUCCUGACUCUCAGCUACCUACAGAAUAAAGUGAAAAGCCU